AUGAGAUUAUUCUCCCAGGCUUCAGGUCUAACACUUAAUCUUAAUAAAUGUGAACUUUUAAGUAUUCAUGACAGUUCAGAAACUAUGUUGUAUAACAUCCCAGUGAAAAAGGAGGUUCGUUAUUUGGGUAUAUGGGUUUCCAAAGACUCUAGAUCAAGUAACAACAAGAACAUCCAGAAGCCUAUUGAAAAAUCCAGAAAAAUAUUAAAUAAUUGGUUGCAAAGAGACCUAACAUUAUUUGGAAGAUCAUUAUUGACAAAAACUGAACUUAUCUCUAGACUAAUAUACCCAGCGUACUCAUUACCGCUUUCCAUUAAAAACCUAAAAGAAAUAAACACUCUCAUCUUUAACUUUAUUUGGAAAAAUAAACACCAUUAUAUUAGAAAAGCAGAUAUGAUUAAAAAAUAUGAGGAGGGAGGAAUAAAUGCAAUUGAUUUUAAGACCAUGGAUGGUGUACUUAAACUAAAAUGGCUCCAGUCGUUUUUGAAUUGUAGUGAAGACUUGUGGUUCUCUUUACCUAAGUUUGUGUUUAAAAAAUUAGGCGGUAUAGAUUUUCUAUUGACAUGUGAUUUUGAGGUUUCAAAGUUACCCGUGAAAUUCUCUGCCUUCCACCAACGAGUGCUGCUCUACUGGAAAAUGGUUUACAAGCAUAACUUUAGUCCACACAACGUCCCGAUUUGGAAUAAUAGGGUGAUCUUAAGAAGGAAGAAAUCAAUAUUCUUGGAAGGAUGGUUGGAAAAACAAAUUUGGUCCAUUGUUCAUUUGAUGAAUGAAGAAGGAAAUCUAUUAAAAUGUGAGGAAUUUAGUAAUAAAUAUAAAAUAAUUUGUACGCUGGAGGACUACAGAAAUGUUGUUGAUUACAUUCCAAUGGCUAUGAUUAAUAUAAUAAAACAUAAUUUGGAUCAGUCCCUAAACCCGAAAUUACAUAAAGCACAGAUCAAUGGUAUACAUUUUGAUGACAAAAAAUGCAAUAACCGGUUGCUGAGAAAAUGUCUAAUUGAUGAGAUCUAUCCUGGGUCCUCUAAAAGAACAUAUUAUUUAAAAAACCUAAACAGACAAGAAAUUAGAUCAAUUAGAACUAAGUUUUUGAAAUUUCCUAUUCCUCCUAAAUUUAAAGAAAUCCAUUUUAAAUUGAUAAACGAAAUUUAUCCUUCACAAGAAUUUAUACAAAAAAUAUUCAAAUUUGAAACGGAGAAUUGUUAUUUUUGUAAAUCAUCGUCGGAAUCAACAGAACAUCUUUUUUUUGAGUGUGAGAUUGUAACAGAAUUUGUGGAAGGAAAUACAUAA
ensembl:lncRNA